GGAGUCACAGAGGGGAUCAGUGUUAUAGAGGGACGACAGAAACAUCAGGUGUGUUUGGAUACACGUUAAUAUUUCCAAUAAUGAUGUUCAUGGCAUUCAGAAAGGUUUUAAACAAACCACCAGGUUAACUUAUCUGGAAGAGAAACUGAAGGCAAAUGGUAAAAUUAAACCCAAACUAUCUGCCAUGAACGUCCAUCACAGUUUGCAGACUGGCUCAACAAGUACCUCGUAAAAACUGGGUUACAGGCACCGGUAAAAAUGAACUACAUGCAGGUGGGCGGCGGGUGAGAACAAGAAAAAGUCAGUGACACCAGUGUAACCUUUGACCCAGUGGUCACAUUGGUCACCGACGUGGAGGACUCCAGCCAUGAAACUGUGCAGCCCGAGGAUGAGGUGGCAGCCUACAUGGAGGUCAAGACACCCAAGGAGGAUCCUUUGGAGGUUUGAUGGUGGUGGAAGGAGCAUGCUAACAUGUUUCCUAACCUGGCAGUGAUUGAAU